GAUCAUGGCUCAGGAUGAACGCUAGCUACAGGCUUAACACAUGCAAGUCGAGGGGCAGCAUUGGAGUAGCAAUACUCAGAUGGCGACCGGCGCACGGGUGAGUAACACGUAUCCAACCUGCCGCUUACUCGGGGAUAGCCUUUCGAAAGAAAGAUUAAUACCCGAUGGUAUAAAGAGUUCGCAUGUUCUCUUUAUUAAAGAAUUUCGGUAAGCGAUGGGGAUGCGUUCCAUUAGAUAGUUGGCGGGGUAACGGCCCACCAAGUCUACGAUGGAUAGGGGUUCUGAGAGGAAGGUCCCCCACAUUGGGACUGAGACACGGUCCAAACUCCUACGGGAGGCAGCAGUGAGGAAUAUUGGUCGAUGGACGAGAGUCUGAACCAGCCAAGUAGCGUGAAGGAUGACUGCCCUAUGGGUUGUAAACUUCUUUUAUAAGGGAAUAAAGUGAGGGACGUGUCCCUUUUUGUAUGUACCUUAUGAAUAAGGAUCGGCUAACUCCGUGCCAGCAGCUGC
rnacentral:rRNA from 1 species